rnacentral:rRNA from 1 species
GACGAACGCUGGCGGCGUGCUUAACACAUGCAAGUCGAACGGAAAGGCCCUGCUUGCAGGGUACUCGAGUGGCGAACGGGUGAGUAACACGUGGGUGAUCUGCCCUGCACUUCGGGAUAAGCCUGGGAAACUGGGUCUAAUACCGGAUAGGAGCCAUUUUUAGUGUGAUGGUUGGAAAGUUUUUUCGGUGUAGGAUGAGCUCUCGGCCUAUCAGCUUGUUGGUGGGGUAAUGGCCUACCAAGGCGGCGACGGGUAGCCGGCCUGGGAGGGUGGACGGCCACAUGGGGCCUGAGGUAGGGACCAGAAUCCUACGGGAGGCAGUAGUGGGGAACAUUGCACAAUGGGGGCAAGCCUGAUGCAGCGACGCCGCGUGGGGGAUGACGGCCUUCGGGUUGUAAACUACUUUCGCUAGGGACGAAGCUUUUGUGACGGUACCUAGAUAAGAAGCACCGGCUAACUACGUG